rnacentral:misc_RNA from 1 species
CAACCCUCAAGCUCUGCUUGGUAUUAGGCUUCACCCCCAAGGGCGGGCUUCAAAAUCAGUGGCGGUGCCAUUUGGCUUCAAGCGUAGUAAUUUUCUCGCUUUGGAGGACCAAGUGUGUGCCUGCCAGCAACCCCAAUAUUUUUUAAA